UACGUAGGGUGCGAGCGUUAAUCGGAAUUACUGGCCGUAAAGCGUGCGCAGGCGGCUUUGCAAGACAGGCGUGAAAUCCCCGGGCUUAACCUGGGAAUGGCGCUUGUGACUGCAGUGCUGGAGUGCGGCAGAGGGGGAUGGAAUUCCGCGUGUAGCAGUGAAAUGCGUAGAUAUGCGGAGGAACACCGAUGGCGAAGGCAAUCCCCUGGGCCUGCACUGACGCUCAUGCACGAAAGCGUGGGGAGCAAACAGG
rnacentral:rRNA from 1 species